UGCAGGGGCGUAGCAAGCAACUUUAAAGUAAGUGGUCAGGCCAACUUGAUUAAAGGUCAGCUGCUUUUCUACUAUUGGAACUUUUGCAUACAGUGGUGAAUUUUUUACCUAAGAAAAAGGUCAUCACUUUUCCUCACCAAAACAGUAUGCGCAUUAUCACUUACAAUAUUUACGACCAUUACCUACCCAGCUGCUAAAGUGGUUAGGCCAAAACCUGACCAGCCUGACCGCUUGCUACGACCUUGAUCUUAUGUGCAACGUUAUGCUAUAAUUAUGUGAAAACAUUAUUUCUUACUCGUCCAGGUUCAGGUUCGGAAAUGUUGUGUUUGAGAUCGCAUCAGGCAGAUAGAGAAGGUGGAGCUGGUCCUCCAGGACCUCCUUCAGCUGCAAUACAAGGGCCUGGCAAUCAUGAAGAUGUUUGGGAGGGCCAAAGUGAACGUUAAUCUGCUCAUCUUUCUCAUGAACAAUAAUUGACAGAGCGUUAAAUUGGAUUUUCCAUUAGCAAAGUGCAUGUAUUCAUUGACUAUUCACAGCAGUGCAUGAAUUAUUUAUAUCAUCUGCAUGUACUAUUGACACGUUAUUAACGACCUAAUGUUCCAACAUAAUAUACUAUAUAUUAUUAUAGUACGUACUUUGCUACUUUUCUCAAAUUGUCAUUUAUUAUAAUGUGAUAUAA